ensembl:lncRNA
UUACUUGCAAUACUCAACAUAUGUUGUUUUAUUUUGUGUUCUUGUGUUUCACACUUGGACAUGAAAUGACCACAAGGCAUGUGUACGUUGGAAAUAAAAUGUCUUUAAUUCGGCAAGACAGAUUAGAUCACGUAUUUGCAUGUUUGCAAAUUCUAAUAUUGCAGUAUAUAUAAUAUAUAUUCUGUUGCAGGUGAUCAUGUCAUCAAAUAAUAAAUAUGUUAACAUAUUUCAUAUAAGUCAUAACAAGAAAGUACUAUGAUAAAAUAAUGACAUGAAUGUGGGGUGCACAUUUUCUAUCUAUAAUCAGACCCAAGAUAUGGGUUCCACACAUUGUCGAUAUACUUGUUAUACUAAUUCCAUUAUUGUUUUCAUUCCCAGGAGAGUUGAUAGGCAUCGACUACCUGUACAAGCAGACGGGGAAGUGCAUGCAAGACAUGGAUCCUGAGGGGGAGGAGACGGAGCAGCUGCUGGAGGACCUGGGCGACGAGGCAGAGGAUGAGGGCUUCACAGACGACACCGAGGCUAGUCUGGAGGUCUUCUCUGCCCUCAUUUCGUUACCACCUGCUCAGCCCUCCACCAGUGGUUCCUGGUCCGCUGCUCCACCUCCUCCUUCUCCUCCA